CUGUUGGUGUGUAGAGGUCACAGAGAGGUACUGUUGGUGUGUAGAGGUCACAGAGAGGUACUGUUGGUGUGUAGAGGUCACAGAGAGGUACUGUUGGUGUGUAGAGGUCACAGAGAGGUACUGUUGGUGUGUAGAGGUCACAGAGAGGUACUGUUGGUGUGUAGAGGUCACAGAGAGGUACUGUUGGUGUGUAGAGGUCACAGAGAGGUACUGUUGGUGUGUAGAGGUCACAGAGAGGUACUGUUGGUGUGUAGAGGUCACAGAGAGGUACUGUUGGUGUGUAGAGGUCACAGAGAGGUACUGUUGGUGUGUAGAGGUCACAGAGAGGUACUGUUGGUGUGUAGAGGUCACAGAGAGGUACUGUUGGUGUGUAGAGGUCACAGAGAGGUACUGUUG